CUUGUAAGAGCCCAGCACAGCACAGAUUUACAAAAUGAUACACAAAGACCUCAGAGCCCAAGUUUCCAGCCUGAUGUUCUGCCUUGUGGAUUUCAGAUUUGCCAAGCCCCACAAUUACAUAAUGAAAUUCCUUAAAGAAGCGAACUUUUGCUAUUGCACAGACCUGCUGCCUCCAGAGCGCCAUGCCACUGAUUGUUUUCCUUGUUUCAUGGAAGGAAGACAAAACUUGUUCCAGCUCAACAAGGCUUCCUGUAUCUUUUGCCCCAUCAGUUUGUAAUUGUCCCCAAAUUCCAAUAUCUAAAACAUAAGAUCAGUAUUUUAUAAAGUGCCAUUUUAGUUAUGCAUUAUUUAGCUUUUCCUAUGAUAAAUUUUCCUACAAAGAUGUCAAAGUUACCCUCUUGGGCCAAGAUACAAGUAAUCUAAUGUAUGACAUUAUUAGAGCAACUAUUGAAGAAAUGGGAAAGAAGCAGAAAGUAUUCAUAUAAUAAAAUAAAACCUUGUGUUUUCUGAUUUUAAA
rnacentral:antisense_RNA from 1 species